CAGUGGAGCCGGAGCUCCAGGCCUAGGGUGCGCGGUCUCAGGCCCUCCACCCGCCAGGGAGGGGCAACCUGCCACCUCGGAUACCCCGCGUAAUUGAGGCAAGGACUAGCUGUUUUGGCCCUGCUGGCGGGGCCGUGCACUCGGUGCUUUGGCCCAGUCUGGAGUCCGCGGAGCCUGGGGCGCCGGCAGCCACGGGGCCUGCUGUCUGGUGCUUGGGCGGCUUGUUUCGUGCCAUCACUCGGCUGGACUGCGAUGAUGUUUCAAUCUAGGCUCCCGCCCAGGCAGGGCUGUUACAAGCCUCAUUGUCUGGGAGUGGGCGUCCUGCCUGCUCCCUCUCUCCUCCCGCCUGUCCUCUCUUGGACACGACCGUGACACGGCUCACCCGCCAAGUGAGUUGUCAGCGUCCCUGGGCUGCAGCUGGCAGGCGUCCACGCCCCGGAGCGGCAGCCGGUUUGCGGGGGAAGAUCCGAGGCGCUCGGAAGGCAAGUCUGGCGUGUCCGCGCGCGGAGUCCCGGCCGUCUGGAGCAAGAAUGUGAACCUGCAGCCAAGCACAAGCAGAAACGAGUGAAGGUUACCGAGGAGCUGAAGUUAUUAAACUUGUGAAAGAGAAAGGUCAUCAGAUGUUCUCUUGAGAUGCUCUCCAUCUUCACGGCCAGCGCCUGGCACUGGGCCACCCUUGCCUGGCCUGGGCAUGGUGCCUCUCCUGACAAUGGGGAUUGCUGAGCAGGCUGGGCAGGCUGCUGGCCCGACCCCACCCGGACUCCCUCAGCCGCAGCAUCAGCUGCAACACUAGCUGAUGGCUAAUCUGGGAAACGUGGGCCAGCCUGCUCAGCUCUGCUUCUUCCUUCCUCCUCUGUCUGCCGAGCCCCAAACAUCGGCCAGCUCUUCCUCUCCUGGGGGCAGGAGACUGAUGACUGUGGGGGCCGAAGUAGACUGCUCUUGGGCUCUGACACCUACCCACCUUUACCAACAGUAAGGGUGAUGGCGUAGCCCCCAUCUGCCACUCUGUAACUGAAAAACAAAACAAAAUAGGUUUAGCUGCCUGUUGCCACAAAAGCCAGACUUGGGAGGCAGAUGCUGGUGCAAAAGGAAAGGGGGGUUUUCUUCAGGUGCCGCGUGAUCUGGGAGAAUGGUGGACUCCUGUCUCAAAGCCCCUCUUCUCAGCAAGACCAAGACCAAGGCCAGUGCCCUGAGUUCCUGCUCCCAUGUAAAGCACAGUCCUGCCCUGGCUGGCGUAGCUCAGUGGAUUGAGCGCGGGCUGCGAACCAAAGUGUCACAGGUUUGAUUCCCAGUCAGGGCACAUGCCUGGGUUGCAGGCCAC